CACAUUUGUUGUUGCUGUACUUCUAAAUGGGAGGGCCUCUGUGUGGUUGGUUUUAGCAGUAGAAGCUUUAAUAGAAAACUGAGUUCUGAUCCUUUUUGGUGUCACGUGGUCACCAUGCCUUUCCCCAUGGACUAGAAGUGUGGUUCUUAAUUUUUUGGGAUUUAAGGUACACUGGGAGUUCUGGCAGCACACCUGAAAGGAUUAAAAGCCUUCAAGUCACACUAAUUAGACCAUAAUCACCUUGUCAGCACAACAGUGUCUCACAGUACCUGUGACAGGGUCCUACAGGGCUCUAAGCACCCAAUCCCCCCUUAGUUCUGGGUGGCUGUUGAUGGAGAUAAUUACUGCCCUGAUCUUGACUUCUCCUACCUACUCCCAACAUUCUUGUGUGUUCUGGUAAAGGUCACACUCUUAACUUCUGGUCCCAGGGAUCUCUUCUUAUCAGAUCACAUGACCUGCUCAGUUCCAUAUUCUGUCAGACAGCAUUGCCAUAAAGGCAAUUCACCUAUAGCAGAGAUAGAAUUCACACAUCAGUGAACAUUUAGCAGCACGUCUCCAAAGGGUAUGCACUUCCCUGUUAAGCUGUGACACACGGUUGAAAAAUACCAGACUAAAUGUUGGACCAAAUCCUUUCUAGAUCUUGCAUCUAUUUUUACAAUCACUACAGCGGAGAGAGAGAACAACAAAGCAAGUUAACGAAGAGCAGCCCGAAAAUCCAGAGGUCUCCUACUCAAAGUUUAAUCUUGUGGAAACCCUGUUCCUGUUUAAGAAGCACGUGUUUCAGUGACCAUUUGGGUUUCAGCUCCUACAUUUCCCUGUCUGAGAAGAAGACCAUUAGACAUUACCCAUUCCUGAUAUGCCCAAGUUACCCUUUCCAUAAAAAAGGACACAGAAAGGAAGAAACAUGCGUGGCUGGAAAAUAUCUAACUGCCAAGUUGCUCCUACAAUUGGAGAUGAGCCUUCUGGCUAAUUUUGAGCUGGUCAUUCUACCUGAUUCUUCUUUGGAAACAAGAAGACAAAUCGACCCAGUUGCUCACAUUGCAUCUGGAUCAUUCUGACCAAAAGUUCCAAAGGCACAGACCUCUAUUGGAUAUGGAUUGUUGGCCUGCGCAGCUUUACCCAGUGUGAGGGCUGAACUGUGCCCCCUUGAGAGAGCUGAAUGCUGGUGGUUUGGGCUGGGCAAGGGCUCUACUUCCACACUGGUGUGGAGAAGUCUUGUCUUGUGCUAUAAUCUGUAGAGAUACCCAGCUUUAUAGAAAGAAGAGAAAGAAAAAAAGAGGCAUAAGGGUUAAGUGAAAAGACAAAAGAAAGAGCAUGUGUAUAUGUGUGUAUGUUUCCAAAAAUCAGAGUGAGAGAUUGGGAAAAGAGAGUAAAGGGUUAGAUUUAUCUAAGAAAUUCUGCUGUGCAAAUCCUAGUAUAGCCUAGCAAUUUGGGGUUCUCACAAUAUAAUCAGAUCUCCAUUGGCUCCAAGACCAGAGAACUAACUAGCAGUGAAGUAUCCAUCUUUCUUAACAUUAUCAUUAAUAGUGGCCAAGUGUCAGUGUCCUUAUCUGUAAAGUAGGAGUUGUAUCUUCCUUGUAGGGAUGUUAGGUGGAUUAAACUGUCUAAUGCAUGUUAAUUGUGAAGUACUCUAUAAGCAGUCUAUAAGUAUUAUGUGAUCUAAAACAUGUCUUCAAAACAUAUUGUUUUUAUGAAGAUGUAGAUUAUGAUGGCAAAUAAAUUUCAACUUGAAUGUUAACUUCA
rnacentral:lncRNA from 1 species